AUUGUUCGCUGGCGGCAGGCCUAACACAUGCAAGUCGAGCGGUAGAGAGGAGCUUGCUCCUCUUGAGAGCGGCGGACGGGUGAGUAAUGCCUAGGAAUCUGCCUGGUAGUGGGGGAUAACGUUCGGAAACGGACGCUAAUACCGCAUACGUCCUACGGGAGAAAGCAGGGGACCUUCGGGCCUUGCGCUAUCAGAUGAGCCUAGGUCGGAUUAGCUAGUUGGUGAGGUAAUGGCUCACCAAGGCGACGAUCCGUAACUGGUCUGAGAGGAUGAUCAGUCACACUGGAACUGAGACACGGUCCAGACUCCUACGGGAGGCAGCAGUGGGGAAUAUUGGACAAUGGGCGAAAGCCUGAUCCAGCCAUGCCGCGUGUGUGAAGAAGGUCUUCGGAUUGUAAAGCACUUUAAGUUGGGAGGAAGGGCAGUAAAUUAAUACUUUGCUGUUUUGACGUUACCGACAGAAUAAGCACCGGCUAACUCUGUGCCAGCAGCCGCGGUAAUACAGAGGGUGCAAGCGUUAAUCGGAAUUACUGGGCGUAAAGCGCGCGUAGGUGGUUUGUUAAGUUGGAUGUGAAAUCCCCGGGCUCAACCUGGGAACUGCAUUCAAAACUGACUGACUAGAGUAUGGUAGAGGGUGGGGGAAAUUCCCUGUGUAGCGGUGAAAAUGCGUAGAUAUAGGAAGGACCCCCAGUGGCGAAGGCGAACACCCUGGACUAAUACUGGACCCUGAAGUGCGAAAGCGGGGGGGAGCAAACAGGAUUAGAUACCCUGGUAGUCCACGCCGUAAACGAUGUCAACUAGCCGUUGGAAGCCUUGAGCUUUUAGUGGCGCAGCUAACGCAUUAAGUUGACCGCCUGGGGAGUACGGCCGCAAGGUUAAAACUCAAAUGAAUUGACGGGGGCCCGCACAAGCGGUGGAGCAUGUGGUUUAAUUCGAAGCAACGCGAAGAACCUUACCAGGCCUUGACAUCCAAUGAACUUUCUAGAGAUAGAUUGGUGCCUUCGGGAACAUUGAGACAGGUGCUGCAUGGCUGUCGUCAGCUCGUGUCGUGAGAUGUUGGGUUAAGUCCCGUAACGAGCGCAACCCUUGUCCUUAGUUACCAGCACGUCAUGGUGGGCACUCUAAGGAGACUGCCGGUGACAAACCGGAGGAGGGUGGGGAUGACGUCAAGUCAUCAUGGCCCUUACGGCCUGGGCUACACACGUGCUACAAUGGUCGGUACAGAGGGUUGCCAAGCCGCGAGGUGGAGCUAAUCCCACAAAACCGAUCGUAGUCCGGAUCGCAGUCUGCAACUCGACUGCGUGAAGUCGGAAUCGCUAGUAAUCGCGAAUCAGAAUGUCGCGGUGAAUACGUUCCCGGGCCU
rnacentral:rRNA from 1 species